GAAAUACUCCCUCCGUCCGAAAAUACUUGUCAUCAAAAUGGAUAAAAGGAGAUGUAUCAAGAACUAAAAUACGUCUAGAUGCAUCCCUUUUAUCCAUUUUGAUGACAAGUAUUUCCGGACGGAGGGAGUAUGUG
rnacentral:pre_miRNA from 1 species